UACGGAGGGUGCAAGCGUUGUCCGGAAUCACUGGGCGUAAAGGGCGCGUAGGCGGAUUGUUAAGUCAGGGGUGAAAUCCUGGAGCUCAACUCCAGAACUGCCUUUGAUACUGGCGAUCUUGAGUCCGGGAGAGGUGAGUGGAACUGCGAGUGUAGAGGUGAAAUUCGUAGAUAUUCGCAAGAACACCAGUGGCGAAGGCGGCUCACUGGCCCGGUACUGACGCUGAGGUGCGAAAGCGUGGGGAGCAAACAGG
rnacentral:rRNA from 1 species